GAUAGCUGCAAUAUAAUUGGUGUACUAGCUCGGUGGAGAACCAAACCUUUAUUUAAAUUAUUACGCUAAUUAACACCGUAAUUCCUUUAUUGCACUGAUGUGCGAAUAUAAAUUCUUAACGCGUCAUCGAUCACCAUGGAAACCAUCAUCAUCGUUCAUCAUCUUCAGCCCCACAGAAGUCAGAGCCGGGGUGGUCUUUAUUACGAGCAUCAGCUUUUAACUUUUCUUUUUUUUUUCCCCCUCACACCAAAUCCAUCUACGUUGACCCACGAACCACAACAAAUAGAAACAAAUUAAGACGCUGGUCCUUGGCGCUGCUGAGAGAGAGAGAGGAGCCUCUCACUUUCCUCUGCCUUAUUUAUUAAUGAUUCAUGAACAAUAAUUUAUGAGCUCGAGCGAGCAACAGUCCAGCUACCCAUUUCCUCCGCAUGCAAAGACAAAGUCAAGCGCUCCCACAAACUGCUACUUUAGCACUAAAUGUCAGCUUCAAGCAUGGAACAUAAAGCAUGGCUCUGGAGGAGAAAAUCUUCAGAAAAGGUUCUCACCAAAAAUGAGAAAUCUGAUCUCUUAAGCCAUGAACAGGAGCUAGAAAAAUCCUUGGAAUUGGAGAGAUCUUUAAAAGAUCUAAAGGAACAACUCUAUACUGUUCGCACCGAGUCUGAUGCCAAAGACAGUCUUCUAGCUAAACAGAAAAAGGUGGCCGAAGAGGCAAUUGCAGGUUGGGAAAAGGCAGAGACAGAAGCAGAAUCAUAUAAGAAAGAACUGGCUGAUGCAUUACUUUUGAAAGUCGCUGCUGAAGCAAGAAUAGCUAACAUAGAUGCAAAUCUUAAUGAAUGCAUGAAACAAUUACAAGUUGUUAAGGAAGAGCAUCAACACACUAUAAUUGAUGCUGCUACAAAGUUAUCGAGAUUGCAAGAAAAAGCACGACUGUUAGAAACAAGCUUAGUAGAGAAAAAUGAAAGCAUUGAAGCUAAAGACAAGUUAAUUGAAGAUUUAUACGAAUCCAAAUCCCAGACUGAAGCAAUUUUUACUGAAAUACUGGCAAGGCUAGAAUCCUCGGAGAAAGAUAAUGCUUCUCUCAAGUAUGAGGUUUUUAUGCUACAAAAGGAAAUUGAGGUUCGGAAUCAAGAUAGGGAUUUCCAUAUCAAGGCAGCGGAUGCUGCUCAUAGCAAAUAUCAUGAUUGCGUGAAAAAGAUUAGUAAACUCGAAGCUGAGUGCCAAAGAUUGCGUGUUAUGCUCCGGAAGAGACUUCCGGGGCCUGCUUCCAUAGCUAAAAUGAGGAGUGAGGUUUCAAGGGAUUAUGUAUCAGGAGAUGAUUAUGAUUCAUUAAGUACAAGAGUUGUCUCUCUUGUUGAAAGAGUGAAUGCAGUUGAAGACGAAAGUAAAGUUUUGAAAGAGACAUUAGUAAGGAAGAACAAUGAACUUCAGUCAUUGAGGUCACAGCUUGAGGAAUCCUCAAAAAGAAAGCUUUCUUUAGAAUUGAGGAGGAGAAGUUUCUCGAAUGAUUUGCCUCUUGCAGCGAUUUCUGAAGAUAUUGGAAGAAGAAAUGAAGAUGCUAUUAGCUGUGCUGAGUCAUGGGCUUCUGCUUUAAUUUCUGAAAUUGAGCAUUUCAGAAAUGGGAAAGCAACGACACCAUCAACUACAACUGCAGGAGUCUCAGAACUUAGCUUGAUGGAUGAUUUCAUAGAGAUGGAAAAGCUAGCUAUAGUUUGUGUUGAUAAAAAGCCUGAAAGUUCCAAUAUGCAACAUGCUUCUAUCAAGGGACAUCCUUCAGAUAUCGAAAAACCUCUGUGCAAAAUGAUUCAAAUGGUUGAGGGAAUCAUACAGAAAUCUUUUACGAGCAACGUUGGUCAACAGAUAUUAGAUGAAAAAGAUGAAAGUAGUAUGACGCAGUAUAAAUCCUUCUUAGCUAGCGGGUGUGUAGCUCAUGUCUUUCUAUGGGAAGUUUCUGAACUGUGCAAUGUUCUACAGAAUUUUAUUGUUGUAUGCAAUGAUUUGUUUCAUGGAAAGGUAGAUUUCAAGAAAUUUAUAGGUGAACUUGCCUCAACUCUAGAAUGGAUAGUCAAUCGCUGCCAUUCCCUUCAAGAUUUAUCGACCACGAAGGACACGAUGAAGAAUCUUUUGAAUGGGGACGAAUUACAUGAAGAUACUGAAUUUAAAUCUGGACCUUCAAUCUCAGAGGCAAAAUUAUUAACUCUGAAUAAUUCAAAUAGAUCGAUGGAAGAAAAGCAUGAGAAUCAGAAAUCAAUUGCAGAAGAUGUUGGCACACGACUUACUGUUUCCAAUGCUGAACUGAGGGACGUGCGGCGAAGUUUCUCCUCUCUUGAAGCUGAAUUGGAGGGUAACGGUGGUUUUAACGAAGAAUUGGACACGAAAUGUCUUGAGCUUCAACUUCAGUUAGAAAGUGGAUCUACAAAAGAGACACCAAAGUCUGACAAGGGCGAAGAGGAAAAGCAACUCAGAACAGAUUGGGAAAUCUCUGAAGCUUCUGAGAAACUCGCAGAGUGCCAAGCAACCAUACUAAACCUCGGGAAACAGUUACAAGCUUUGGCAGCACCAAAAGAUGCAUCUCUUUUUGAUAAAGUGAUAUCACCAACUCCAGCUACCAGAAUCAACUAUCAUCCUCCGUUACUCGAUCAAACGCAAGAUAAUGCUGAUUCCACACCUGAACAUCUCAAAUCUCCCAAGACGAAAGAAAUGAUCUGCACCGAAGUAAAACAGCCGUCACCGGCGAAGUUAAAAGAUGAUUAUAACUUCAAUGAGCAAAAGGGUCAGAGUGAUGCAGGAAAGCUUGUGAUUGUAUCGAGGAGACAGAAGGGGGGAGUGAGUUUUCUGAAGAAAUUGCUGUCGAGGAGGAAGGAGAGUAAUAAGAAGAAGGCUUUGCCUAUUGGCUCGUCUUAAGGGAAAUUUAGGGUGGUGUAGCUGAGGCUUGCGUGAUUUUGUUUUUGUUUAAUGGAGUUGGAAGAUGCUGUAAAUAAAGGUUUUCUUUUCUUUUUUUUUUUUUUUUUUUGAAAAUAAACAUCAAGUUAUACCAUGAAUUCAGUACUUAAAAGACAGGUACAUUUCAAAUAAUCACAUUAUGGUUCUUCAUUUUGUAAAUAACUUGGGAAGUGGCCCCA